UAAGGAAUAUUGGGCAAUGGACGAAAGUCUGACCCAGCCAUGCCGCGUGAAGGAUGACGGCCCUACGGGUUGUAAACUUCUUUUCUCUGGGGCGAAAACCUCCUAGUCUUAGGAAUUUGACAGUACCAGAGGAAUAAGCACCGGCUAACUCCGUGCCAGCAGCCGCGGUAAUACGGAGGGUGCAAGCGUUAUCCGGAUUCACUGGGUUUAAAGGGUGCGUAGGUGGGUCUGUAAGUCAGUGGUGAAAUCCCCGAGCUUAACUUGGGAACUGCCGUUGAUACUAUAGGUCUUGAAUCUCGAGGAGGUAAGCGGAAUAUGUCAUGUAGCGGUGAAAUGCUUAGAUAUGACGUAGAACACCAAUUGCGUAGGCAGCUUACUACACGAGCAUUGACACUGAGGCACGAAAGCGUGGGGAGCAAACAGG
rnacentral:rRNA from 1 species